GGCACGGUGGCCGAGCGGUAAGGGCGUCUGUCUUGUAACCAGAAGAUCACGGGUUCAAACCCCGUCCGUUGCCU